rnacentral:rRNA from 1 species
AGCAGCCGCGGUAAUUCCAGCUCCAAUAGCGUAUAUUAAAGUUGUUGCAGUUAAAAAGCUCGUAGUUGAAUUUCGGGGUUAGUAGAUUGGUCAUGCCUCUGGUAUGUACUGGUCUCACUGAUUCCUCCUUCCUGAUGAACCUUAAUGCCAUUAAUUUGGUGUUUUGGGGAAUUUGGACUGUUACUUUGAAAGAAUUAGAGUGUUUAAAGCAAGCUAACGCUUGAAUACAUUAGCAUUGAAUAAUGAAAUAGGACGUUCGAUCCUAUUUUGUUGGUUUCUAGGAUUGACGUAAUGAUUAAUAGGGAUAGUUGGGGGCAUUAGUAUUCAAUUGUCAGAGGUGAGAUUCUUGGAUUUAUUGAAGACUAACUACUGCGAAAGCAUUUGCCAAGGAUGUUUUCAUUAAUCAAGAACGAUAGUUAGGGGAUCGAAGACGAUCAGAUACCGUCGUAGUCUUAACCAUAAACUAUGCCGACUAGGGAUCGGAUGAUGUUAAUUUUUUAAUGACUCA